CACCUAAUACCAGGAACCCACCAGAGAGGUGUCCCCGUCCUCUGUAUUCCCGGGAUUCCACACAGGAAGGUCACACUAUCCCUCCCUUUUGCAAGAGUGGAGAUCCAAUCGAUAUAGAAUUUGAGGU